rnacentral:rRNA from 1 species
GACAGAGGGUGCAAACGUUGUUCGGAAUUACUGGGCGUAAAGCGCGUGUAGGCGGCUCGGCAAGUCGGGUGUGAAAGCCCUGGGCUUAACCUAGGAAGUGCACUCGAAACUGCAUAGCUAGAGUCCUGGAGAGGAAGGUGGAAUGCUUGGUGUAGAGGUGAAAUUCGUAGAUAUCAAGCGGAACACCGGUGGCGAAGGCGGCCUUCUGGACAGUGACGUGACGCUGAGACGCGAAAGCGUGGGGAGCGAACAGG